GUUUGGGUCAAGAUGAAGGCGGGUUCUGGACAGACGUACCCAGUCAGGGAAUGUUUACUUUGCCUCCACUUCUGUUCCUCCCCGCCCUGGUGCUGCUCCGGGUCACAUACUCGUCCUGAGCCGGCUUCAGCCUCUCCGCGCAGAAGUCUCCCGGAGCCGACUUCUGAGAGUCGAGUACUCCUAUGUGAAGACUACCAAGCUCGUGUUCAAGGGAACCAAGGCGAAGAGGAACCAUAGCCAUUGAAAUGGAUGAGGGAACCUAUAUACAUGCACUCGAUAAUGGUCUUUUUACCCUGGGAGCUCCACACAAAGAAGUUGAUGAGGGCCCUAGUCCUCCAGAGCAGUUUUCGGCUGUCAAAUUAUCUGAUUCCAGAAUCACCCUGAAAUCUGGCUAUGGAAAAUAUCUUGGUAUAAAUUCAGAUGAACUUGUUGUUGGGCGUUCAGAUGCAAUUGGACCAAGAGAACAAUGGGAACCAGUCUUUAAAAUUGGGAAAAUGGCUUUGUCGACCUCAAAUAGCUGCUUUAUUAGAUACAGUGAAGCAGAGGACAUAGAAGCAAAAAGUAAAACAGCAGGAGAAGAAGAAAUGAUCAAGAUUAGAUCCUGUGCUGAAAGAGAAACCAAGAAAAAAGAUGACAUUCCAGAAGAAGACAAAGGAAAUAUAAAACAAUGUGAAA
rnacentral:lncRNA from 1 species